rnacentral:rRNA from 1 species
CCUACGGGUGGCAGCAGUAGGGAAUAUUGCUCAAUGGGGGAAACCCUGAAGCAGCAACGCCGCGUGGAGGAUGAAGGUUUUCGGAUUGUAAACUCCUUUUGUUAGAGAAGAUAAUGACGGUAUCUAACGAAUAAGCACCGGAUAACUCCGUGCCAGAAGCCGCGGUAAUACGGAGGGUGCAAGCGUUACUCGGAAUCACCGGGCGUAAAGAGCGCGUAGGCGGGAUAGCAAGUCAGAUGUGAAAUCCUAUGGCUUAACCAUAGAACUGCAUUUGAAACUGUUAUUCUAGAGUAUGGGAGAGGUAGGUGGAAUUCUUGGUGUAGGGGUAAAAUGCGUAGAGAUCAAGAGGAAUACUCAUUGCGAAGGCGACCUGCUAGAACAUAACUGACGCUGAUGCGCGAAGGCGUGGGGAGCAAACAGGAUUAGAUACCCGAGUAGUC